rnacentral:lncRNA from 1 species
CAAAAUUGAAAUUGCACCAAAUUUUUUAAAGUUAAAUAAAAUUAGUACAACAUGACAACCACUGUUUGCUUGUAAUUCACCCUAAAACUACAAAUCGAAAAACUACCAACCACCAAAAUACAUGUGUAUGUCAUCCCUACCAAACAAUAAUCUGAAACGGACUUGCAACGGAAUCCAACUAGAUAAUAGCAGCCCCCAAAACUAGUCAAACAGGACAGCAAAGAACCCAGAACACAAUAUACGUUUUCUCUCUUUAAUCUUCGUUAGUGUAUGGAUUUGGAGAAUCCGUUUGGUUAGGG